rnacentral:misc_RNA from 1 species
GAGAAGAACGCAGCGAAAUGCGAUAAGUAAUGUGAAUUGCAGAAUUCAGUGAAUCAUCGAAUCUUUGAACGCACCUUGCGCUCUUUGGUAUUCCGAAGAGCAUGCCUGUUUGAGUGUCAUGAAAAUAUCAACCUUGACUUGGGUUUUGUGCUCUAGUCUCGGCUUGGAAUUGGGUGCUUGCCGCUUUUACGAGCGGCUCACCUUAAAUGUAUUAGCUGGAUCUGUCUUUGAGACUUGGUUUGACUUGGCGUAAUAAGUAUUUCGCUAAGGACAUUCUUCGGAGUGGCCUCGUUUCUAGGACGCUUGUCCGCUUUCCAAUACAAGUUCCACCUCGUGGACAUGACUUUUUAUUAUCUGGCCUCAAAUCAGGUAGGACUACCCGCUGAACUUAAGCAUAUCAAUAAGCGGAGGA